rnacentral:rRNA from 1 species
GUACGGGAGGCAGCAGUGGGGAAUUUUGCGCAAUGGGCGAAAGCCUGACGCAGCAACGCCGCGUGGAGGAUGAAGGCCUUCGGGUCGUAAACUCCUGUCAGGGGGGACGAAGGUCGGGAAACCGGCUUGACUGUACCCCUUGAGGAAGCCACGGCUAACUCCGUGCCAGCAGCCGCGGUAAUACGGAGGUGGCAAGCGUUGUUCGGAAUUACUGGGCGUAAAGGGCGCGUAGGCGGCUUGGCAAGUCAGAUGUGAAAGCCCCGAGCUUAACUUGGGAAUUGCAUCUGAAACUGCUUUGCUUGAGUCCUGGAGGGGGUAGUGGAAUUCCCAGUGUAGCGGUGAAAUGCGUAGAUAUUGGGAGGAACACCGGCGGCGAAGGCGGCUACCUGGACAGUGACUGACGCUGAGGCGCGAAAGCUAGGGGAGCGAACGGGAUUAGAUACCCCGGUAGG